rnacentral:snoRNA from 1 species
CUGCAGCCAAUUAAGCUGACUGUCUUCCUUUCCUCAAGGUGCAUCAGCUGCAAACCACAGCCUCCUUGGUAGGGGAGGGAACUUGUUGCAUGUACAUGUGGCUCUAUAGGACCUUGGAGACAGUU